rnacentral:rRNA from 1 species
AAAUUGAAGAGUUUGAUCAUGGCUCAGAUUGAACGCUGGCGGCAGGCUUAACACAUGCAAGUCGAACGGUAGCACAGAGAGCUUGCUCUCGGGUGACGAGUGGCGGACGGGUGAGUAAUGUCUGGGAAACUGCCUGAUGGAGGGGGAUAACUACUGGAAACGGUGGCUAAUACCGCAUAACGUCGCAAGACCAAAGAGGGGGACCUUCGGGCCUCUUGCCAUCAGAUGUGCCCAGAUGGGAUUAGCUAGUUGGUGAGGUAACGGCUCACCAAGGCGACGAUCCCUAGCUGGUCUGAGAGGAUGACCAGCCACACUGGAACUGAGACACGGUCCAGACUCCUACGGGAGGCAGCAGUGGGGAAUAUUGCACAAUGGGCGCAAGCCUGAUGCAGCCAUGCCGCGUGUAUGAAGAAGGCCUUCGGGUUGUAAAGUACUUUCAGCGGGGAGGAAGGUGUUGUGGUUAAUAACCACAGCAAUUGACGUUACCCGCAGAAGA